UGGGUAAUAGCUCAGUGGUGUAGAGCACAUGCUAGCAUGCAUGAGGUCCUGGGUUCUAUCCCCAGUACCUCCA
rnacentral:tRNA from 1 species